rnacentral:lncRNA from 1 species
UGUUGUGGCUGGCAGGUUUCAUGGCACGGCACCCAGCCUACGGUUUGUGCCACGGCCAAAGCCAAGCAGGCUGUCAGCUCCCUGCUGUCCUCGGCCAUCGCAGGGGAAAAGCCUUCCCAGGGGGGCACGGAGCUGUGCUGGGUCAUCUGCCUGCUGCUGGAGCCCCGCGCCUGCUGCAAGCCCGAGCCCCGGCCCAGGCAGGCCCUGGCCGAGCGGGGCUGUGACGUGGCCGUGGUGCCUCCUGUGAAACGCUUCCCUCCCCGCCUGGAGCGGGCAGAGAGCCCGCAAUGAGCCCUUGUCAGGUGUGCUGCUGUGCUAAUAACGCUGCUCGCAUUGCUGCGCUUUGUUGCUUUGUGUUUUUGAAGCCUACAGCACUUUGUUCGUGGCUAAUAUGAAAAGCAGGCAGCUUCCACAGCACUCGGGGAGAGAGACGCAACUCUUCGGAAGAAGAUAAAGAGCUUCUGCAAAUAUUUAUGCACAGAAAAUCGAUCAAACUGUAAUGUGUCUCGUUUAAAAAACAAUUGUGUGUAUUUGUGUGGUUGUAGCUCCUGCAGCUGGCGUGAGAAGGAAAAGCUGUUUGUCUAUCGCAGGUGGAUGGGUGGAGAAAUUGCCCACCAAAACACCCAGAGGCAGCAUCAGGGACAAGAAGGGACAGUUCCUGUGCCAUGGGGCAGUGAUGCCACCUGGUCCUCAGCCCACCAGGAAAGCACUCGGUGCUGCAGGAGCACAGGCUUCUGCUGGUGCCUGUGAUGGAGACACCUGGGGGCGUUGGCAGGAUUUUAUUUAAUGCUCUCAAUCGCCUGCUGGGGCUGUUGAGAAACAGGUGCCUGCAUCUCCUCUGGGGCCUGAGCCUGUCCUGGCCGCUGGGUGCUGCUGCAGGGGCUUGGAGUUUGCCUCGUCCUCCUGCUGGCUGCUGCUGCUGCUCCCUGCCUGCCCCUGAGCACCUCAGGUUGCUCAUUAGCUUCUGCUGUUCCCUACAAGAUGCAAAGCAGGCGUUAGGGUCGCAGCUGCUGCCUUGCUCCCCAGGUGAGCCCAGAGCGUGGUGCAGCUCCUGGGGGGGCUGUUGUAUGCCUGGGGCUUUGAAAUUGGCUCGUCCUUCCUCAGCUGGGGCAGCCUGUACCUACUGAGCUGCAGGACGCAGGAAUAGCCGGUCAGUUUUUCUGAGAGGAGCUGGAAUUACAAGGAUGCAGUUUUUAUACCUAGAGAAUCCCAGGGCUAGCUGAGAAACAUUCCUGAGCAUAUGUGGAAUCCAUUUAGUUUUGUUUAAGAUCAGCCCUGUGUGUUGCUAGGAGGGGGGUACAUUUGUGUACCAGAUCCCUGUACCUACAAGUCCAUCACUUUAUUAAUAGGUCUGGUACAGAGUUUGAAGUGGGGGAAAAAAGCAUGUUCCUGGCUUCUCAAAAGCAAAACUUUUUGGGAAAAAGCUUAAACCUUUUCUAUCUGCAGUGGCCUCCUCUAUGAAGGUCAUGGGAGAGCCUGGAUGGGAAGGACCCGCUGGGGGGCUCAAGUCCCCAGGUCUUGGCAAAUCCCUCAGUGAAGAGGAAGAGGUGUUUGGAUAAUGCCCUUAACAUGCCAUAGCUGUUGGAUAAACCAGGGAAUGGUUUAUUGUGGAACUUACGUGUUUUCAGUCUCGACUUUGCUUUGCUUUGCUAUGGAGAAAUCACGUUCCAGCUCCUGCUGGAGGAGUUGCAAUCUUCCCAUCCUUUAUGGUGGGCAAAGGACAGAGGUGCUCCAGCUUCUAACAGCGGGGAAGUGUUGACUCAAAUCCUUUUCUCCCCACUUAAAGUUCUAGAGGGGACCGCGCUUCUCUUUUCCUCCCCAGACUGCAGCAGCAUCAGCUUCACGCAGCCCUACCACGUCUUCCACCUGCUGAUUUUAAAGCAGCCUCUGGUAACGAGUCCCAGCUCCUAAUUAGUGCCUUACCAAACGAACUGUCUGCGUGGUGGUGUUGGGGUGGUGCCGAGGGCUGUGCCGUGCGGGGACGCCUGGCCCCAGGCAGGCAGCAGGAGCCCGCUCGUGGCUGCUGUCCUCGCUGUUUGCUGAAGCCUCUCUGAGCACGCUUAAGGCACAGGCACGCCGGCUCAUAGUCAAAAUGAUUUUUUCCUGGGUACGCUUUAUUUUACU